rfam:Triticum urartu cultivar G1812 contig401136, whole genome shotgun sequence.
CAUAUACUCUCUCCGUCCGAAAAUACUUGUCAUCAAAAUGGAUAAAAAAGAAUGUAUCUAGAACUAAUAUAUAUCUAGAUACAUCUCUUUUUAUUCAUUUUAAUGACAAAUAUUUCUGGACGGAGGGAGUAUGUU